AUUGAACGCUGGCGGCAUGCCUUACACAUGCAAGUCGAACGGCAGCACGGGAGCAAUCCUGGUGGCGAGUGGCGAACGGGUGAGUAAUAUAUCGGAACGUGCCCAGUCGUGGGGAUAACGUAGCGAAAGCUACGCUAAUACCGCAUACGAUCUAUGGAUGAAAGCGGGGGAUCGCAAGACCUCGCGCGAUUGGAGCGGCCGAUAUCAGAUUAGGUAGUUGGUGAGGUAAAGGCUCACCAAGCCGACGAUCUGUAGCUGGUCUGAGAGGACGACCAGCCACACUGGGACUGAGACACGGCCCAGACUCCUACGGGAGGCAGCAGUGGGGAAUUUUGGACAAUGGGCGCAAGCCUGAUCCAGCAAUGCCGCGUGCAGGAUGAAGGCCUCGGUUGUAACU
rnacentral:rRNA from 1 species